rnacentral:rRNA from 1 species
UACACACCGCCCGUCACACCAUGGAGUUGGCUGCACCAGAAGCCGGUAGUCUAACCGCAAGGGGGACGCCGUCCACGGUGUGGUCAAUGACUGGGGUG